rnacentral:tRNA from 2 species
GGGCGUGUAGCUCAGCGGUAGAGCUUCCGGUUUACACCCGGACGGUCGGGGGUUCGAACCCCUCCGCGCCCACCA